CCUUGGUCCAAAAAAAUUAAAAUAAGGUCAAGGUCAAAGGUCAAGGUCAUAUUCUAAAUUUUGAUUUUGGCUUAUUUUCUCUUAUUUUCAACAACCGUGAAAGAUAUUGACAAAUUAUUUUUACUAAAUUGUGAGUUGCGACAUGUUGUAACUUAUAAAUUUUGGUUGGAAGGGUGCGUAAACAAUAAAUGAGAGUUUUCGCCCAUCUUAUAUUUAAAAUCAUGCCUAAAGUGAUAUAACUCAUUAACCAUACAUAUUACAGACCUAGGGUCUUUUUAUUUGAGGUCCUUGGUUGGUGACCUUGAAAUUGAGGUCAAGGUCAAAGGUUAAUAGGACGUUCUACAUUUUGACCUUUGCUUUAAAUUCAUAUUUAUACAUUAUAAAGUCCAUAGGAACUGACAUUUUAGAUUGAUUUUUAAUAUUUUGAUAAUAAAAUAGAUCUUUACUUGUGGAAAGACCUUCAAUUGUUCUUUGAACUAUUGGUUUUUAAUUUUUUUUUUUUUUUUUUUUUUUUUUCUUCCGCCUAAUUUUUUUCUUGCGUAGUAUUGAUGUUUCAAAAGAUGUCGCUUAGAUGUUUGGAAUAUGGUAUCGUAUAGUUUAUACGCUUUAAAAAUUUACAACUGCAUAACAAAAUACUUUACAUUGUAAGAGUUAUCUCCUCAAACACUGUUUUUCUUGUGGCCACUACUCCUUCGCAACCGUAAAAGAUUACGACAAAUUUAUUUUACCAAAUUGCUCGUUACUCCUUCCGGAUUAGGAUAUUUAUUUGGACCGA
rnacentral:lncRNA from 1 species